rnacentral:rRNA from 1 species
GACGAACCGUGCGAACGUUGUUCGGAUUCACUGGGCUUAGAGCGCGUGUAGGCGGGCCGCCGCGUCGGCUGCUGAAAUCCCCCGGCUCAACCGGGGAACGGGCACCGAUACGGGCGGCCUCGAGGGGGGUAGGGGGACCUGGAACUUCCGGUGGAGCGGUGAAAUGCGUUGAGAUCGGAAGGAACGCCCGUGGCGAAAGCGAGGUCCUGGACCCUUUCUGACGCUGAGACGCGAAAGCCAGGGGAGCGAACGGG